GUUUAUAAACCCUUUUGUCCCUCAUCCCAGAGAGGUUUUGAGAAGAGUGGUAGCUGCUGGUGGAUUUCUCCAGGACAGACCUAGGAAGUGAGCAAAGUGGAAUACCCCUGCAAGGCGUGAAUGUUGACUAACCACUUGGGCCACACAGGCAACAUUACUUAAUGUGGACAGAUGAGCUGAGUCACGAGGAUGUUAAGUGAGAUGGCAAAAUCCCCUGCCAGUAAAGAUGGUGGUCCACCUACCUUCCAAGAGGGCAGUUGGCAUUAAUUAAUCUCACAUUACUCUAAUUAUUUACACCAUUCCUAAGAAUCACUUUCAUUGGAAAACAGAGAUGAACUUAAUGGUUUGUCAGAAAUGUUGAUUCCUAUGAAGAGUAGUUAUCUCAUACAGGAUUGGACGAGGACACCCUAAGGGAGGAAGGAAUACAGAAGCUCAAUAUCCUUUAAUGGUUAGAGUGCCCUGUUUUAAAUGUCUGUGUGCUGGAAGUAGAAAUGCCCGCAAGAGC